AGAACCUUACCAGAUCUUGACAUCCAAUUGACCAUCUUUUAAUCGAGUAUUUUGCCUUCGGGUACAAUUGAGACAGGUGGUGCAUGGUUGUCGUCAGCUCGUGUCGUGAGAUGUUGGGUUAAGUCCCGCAACGAGCGCAACCCUUGUGUUUAGUUGCAAACAGGUCAAGCUGUGCACUCUAGACAGACUGCCGUGGACAACACGGAGGAAGGUGGGGAUGACGUCAAAUCAUCAUGCCCCUUAUGAUCUGGGCUACACACGUGCUACAAUGGCCGGUACAACGGGCAGCGAAGGAGCGAUCCGGAGCGAAUCCUAAAAAGCCGGUCCCAGUUCGGAUUGCAGGCUGAAACUCGCCUACAUGAAGUUGGAGUUGCUAGUAAUCGCGAAUCAGAAUGUCGCGGUGAAUGCGUUCCCGGGUCUU
rnacentral:rRNA from 1 species